rnacentral:lncRNA from 1 species
CUAUAAUGCACCAUCAUAAAAACCAAGAUUGCAAAGACAGCCAAAAUCAUCAUUCCAACUUUCCUUGGACUUGAAUAUCUGAAAAAACAAGAAAGAAACCUUUCCUUCUCCCUCGCAACGGAACUGUAUAUCUUUGAAGUCUUUCGAACAGUGUACAAAUUCUGAGCCUGCAACCCUUCACUCUGUGCCUGUAGCUGCAUUGACUCAAAACUUGAUGAUGUUCGAAGACUCAGCGACGCUCCAUUCAUUAUAUCUCCAAUACCCAAAUAACCUUCAUCUCUUUUUGCCCUUAAAUCUCCCCUUCAUCCACAAAUAAACACAAUAGCGUAUCAUACCAGAAUAAAAAAUCACCAUCCAAAUAAUAAUAACUUAAUAUAUUACAGACGACACUAAGAUACAUUAACAAAAUCCAAAUUCAGUAAAUUUGGCAUACAUGAAAUAAUAGAAGAGAAAUCAAAACUUAGUUAUUAAACAUUCUCAUCAACUCACCAAAUCUAUCGUUCCAUUAAAGUUAAAGUCAAAACUUAGUUAUUAAAAAUUCUCAUCAACUCACCAAAUCUAUCGUUCCAUUAAGGUUAAAGGAUCGACUUUACUCAACACGAAAGUUCAAUCACUUUCUCCAAAACAAAGAGCACCGCAAUGCCAAAAUUGACUUAGUAAUUACAAAACCACAAACAGGAAUCCCCGUUUACCCACACUAACUACCAAUCAAGGGGAAUUAUAAGUCAUAGAUACACUUUCACUUAGAUACAAGCUUAAUCCGAAAUCGAACUUUCAGAAUUAUACAAACAUUAGAAAUCUAGAUCAAUGCGGCACAUUAUGGAUAAUCAAAGCCUAAUGGGCCCAUCAAACAAGGAUAUUUACAAACAUUAAAUUAAGCUGUGUACCUUUGUAUAAUGUGUAUGCAUUAAAUAGGAUAAUAUUUUUGCAGAGAUAAAGAUUAUAGUGCGUUUGAUUGCCUCUAUUAGUGAUUUCUUCGCCUUGGUCUCUCUCCCUAGAAACAGUUGCAUCCUCGAUUUUGUCAAUUUAUUUAUAAUGUUUAAUUAUUUUAUUUUAUUUUUU